GACAGAGGUGCCGAGCGUUAGGCGGAAUCACUGGGCUUAAAGCGUGUGUAGGCGGGUCGUUAAGUGUCUUGUGAAAUACCACCGCUCAACGGUGGAACUGCUGGGCAUACUGGCGAUCUUGAGCCACCUAGGGGCAGACGGAACAAGCGGUGGAGCGGUGAAAUGCGUAGAUAUCGCUUGGAACGCCGACGGUGAAAACAGUCUGCUGGGGGUGUGCUGACGCUGAGACACGAAAGCCAGGGGAGCGAACGGG
rnacentral:rRNA from 1 species